UACGUAGGGUGCGAGCGUUAAUCGGAAUUACUGGGCGUAAAGCGUGCGCAGGCGGUUUGCCAAGUCCGAUGUGAAAGCCCCGGGCUCAACCUGGGAAUGGCAUUGGAAACUGGCAGGCUGGAGUGCGGCAGAGGGGGGUGGAAUUCCACGUGUAGCAGUGAAAUGCGUAGAGAUGUGGAGGAACACCGAUGGCGAAGGCAGCCCCCUGGGCCGACACUGACGCUCAGGCACGAAAGCGUGGGGAGCAAACAGGAUUAGAUACCCCCGUAGUCC
rnacentral:rRNA from 1 species